UAGACGGAUGCUCUCUGGUUGGGGCGUUUAGCUGUUAACUAAGAAUUUGUAGGAUCGAGGCCUGCUCGUCUAG
rnacentral:tRNA from 1 species